AACUUUAGUCCAAUCAUUCCGUUUCCGAUGACAUAGAGCCCGAUUCGUCCAAUAGAUAGGAACAUUAGGGCACAAAGUAAUUGCCUAGCAUUUCAACAAAAGAAAUGAAACAUUAAAUUAGUUGAUUUACGCAAAAAACAAAAAGGGGAAAAAAACUUAAUUAACAAAAGAAAAACUCAUCCAAUAAAUCCCUAAUCAACAAAUUUAUGAGAAAGAAGAAAAGAACGCGCAAGAUAAAUUCUUUUUUAAUUUUUCAAACAUUCUCUUGAUGAAUUAGAAUUAGUGCCUCAGUAUAAGCCUCGAUGGCGGCUCCAAAUCGGUCCUUUCUGAAAUAGGAAUUGCCAUCAAUCCUCAAUAGUUCAGCUUGUUUCGCGGCAGCAGCAGCGGCAGCAGCAGCAAUAAAUGCAGGUCCAGGACCCAUUCUCUCUAUGGUUCUCUUGAUCACACAAACUCUUCAAGUCUAGCGAUCAUCCAAUUUCUCUAUAAUCUGGCUACUCUCUCUCCAGAAGUUUCUGAAAUGUAUCAACAAGUUUCUCCCAAUUUACAUAUCGCAUGUGAAGAAGCUAUGUGCGUAGGGAUAACUGUAGAUUGAUGUGAAGAUGAAUCGACUGUGAUGAAGAAAGGAAGCCUUGAUUGCAGGGGAACGGGCUCUGUGUGGGGAGAACUGAUUGGGUUACGAGUAGGGGACGUGGUUAGGUCACAGAACAGUUUUAUAGGACAAUUCUAGAUGUAGAAGUUAAAUUUCAAUUGGCGGUUGGAGUUGGCGAAGGGUGAUUAAUUUCCAGUCUUUGUAUUUUCUACCUACGUCAACCAUACCGUACCUUAUU
rnacentral:misc_RNA from 1 species